rnacentral:lncRNA from 1 species
GAGCAGUCCCAUUCUAAUUUCGAGAUGAAAUGGGAAUGGCCUAAUCUACAUAGAAUUCAAUCUUUAUUCUCCCUUAUGGAUUCAAAUUUUCAUUUCAAUUUUGAUUUUGAUUCUGAUUUCGGUCACGAAUCAAGUACUUCGAAAGAUUUGACCAUUCUGAUUUCGAUUCUAAACCAUUCUGAUUCUAAUUUCGAUAGCGAACCA